rnacentral:ncRNA from 1 species
AAGUGAGGACGACCUCACCACUCUAAUUUUAUCAGGGGACAACCUCA